UUUCAAAUCAUAAACUUAUACUUUUUGGUACACAGAAGGACGAAGUAGUUGUUUUUAUUGUUACGUGGGAGGAGGCUGAACAUGCGAAAAUAUGUAGAAAGAUGUAGAUAAACACAAUGUUUACUUGCAAAUGUGACGUAAUAGAGAGAGAAUAAAUAUCCCGGAAAAUAUUUGCUUUUGUUGUCGUUGCACAUGCUGAUAUUUCGGGUGUUAUCCUUGAGCGAAUGUUGUUCGUGGAGGUAUAAAAGCGAUAACUUAUACUGUAGAUAGCGCUUAUGCGGAAUAGUUGAAGCGAAACUUCCGGACGGUUGACAAGAGAGCAACAAAGUCGCAUAGCCAAUAUCGACGGGGAAAUUGAAGAAGAUGAAGGCUAUGUUAUACCUAAAAUUUAAUUGAGACGCCUAUGGCUGUAAGUGCAUUAUAUAUAUAUGUCGAUAUUUAUCAGUACAGAUAGCCGCAUCGUGCAUAUAUCUUGCAUAUCGUUCAAUGCAAUAAUGUUUUAGAAGUGGACAAACCUCACACAAAAAGCUGUGGCAAAGUGUAUCACAGAAGCUGAGUGGCAAUGACUACAGUUUAACAGCAAAUCAAUGCGCUUCCCAAAUGAGGAGCCUAAAAAGUACAUAUAAAGCCGUCAAAGAUCACAACAAUAAAUCGGGAAAUGAAAGACGCUCUCGGAAGUUUCUCAACGAAAGAAUUGAAAAAGCUCAACAAUAUAUAUGCAUAUUAAUCCAAUAAUGCAAUUUAUGAAUGAGCUAUUUGCGCGGAAGGUAUGGAGUGAUCCUGCCGCAGUAGCUGCUUCCACAGGUCUUUCCGUCCGAAACCCUGGCGAGGGUGGUGCGGAGGAGAGCGAUAGCGAAAUUUCUAGAAUCUCCUUCACCCAGAAAUACAAUUGCAUCCUUGCUCAAAGGAGAAUACAGCAGAAGGAACAUAAGAGAAACAAAGCCAGGCGACAUAAAGAAAUGAUGGAAAUAGAGAAGUUUCGUCGAUCCAUCCAAAACCUGAUUAGGAAAUAAAGUGAAAUGAUAUAAGACUCAUGCUAUAGAAUAUUUAUUUCUUGUUAUAUCAUAAUAUACAAUGGAAGGCUGUAAAUUUAAAAAUUCUCAUUAUCAUUAAUCGUUUAUCUAA